UACAGGGGGUGCAAACGUUGCUCGGAAUUAUUGGGCGUAAAGGGCGCGUAGGCGGCCUUCUAAGUCGAACGUGAAAUCCCCGGGCUCAACCCGGGAACUGCGUCCGAUACUGGAAGGCUUGAAUCCGGGAGAGGGAUGUGGAAUUCCAGGUGUAGCGGUGAAAUGCGUAGAUAUCUGGAGGAACACCGGUGGCGAAGGCGACAUCCUGGACCGGUAUUGACGCUGAGGCGCGAAAGCCAGGGGAGCAAACGGG
rnacentral:rRNA from 1 species